AUAAGCGGAGGAAAAGAAACCAACAGGGAUUGCCCCAGUAACGGCGAGUGAAGCGGCAACAGCUCAAAUUUGAAAUCUGGUCUCUUUUGGGAUCCGAAUUGUAAUUUGUAGAGGGUGCUUUGGCGUUAAUCCCGGUCUAAGUUCCUUGGAACAGGACGUCGCAGAGGGUGAGAACCCCGUACGGGAUCGUUGGUUAUCGCCGUGUAAAGCCCCUUCGACGAGUCGAGUUGUUUGGGAAUGCAGCUCUAAAUGGGAGGUAAAUUUCUUCUAAAGCUAAAUAUUGGCUGGAGACCGAUAGCGCACAAGUAGAGUGAUCGAAAGAUGAAAAGCACUUUGGAAAGAGAGUCAAAAAGCACGUGAAAUUGUUGAAAGGGAAGCGCUUGCAGCCAGACUUGCCUGUAGUUGCUCAUCUAGGCUUUUGCCUAGUGCACUCUUCUGCGGGCAGGCCAGCAUCAGUCCAGGCGGUCGGAUAAAGGCCUUGGGAAUGUGGCUCCCUUCGGGGAGUGUUAUAGCCCAAGGUAUAAUGCGGCCAGUUUGGACUGAGGUCCGCGCAUCUGCCAGGAUGCUGGCGUAAUGGCUGUAAGCGGCCCGUCUUGAAACACGGACCAAGGAGUCUAACAUCUAUGCGAGUGUUUGGGUGUCAAGCCCGAGCGCGCAAUGAAAGUAAAUGGAGGUGGGAACCCCUUCGGGGCGCACCAUCGACCGAUCCUAAUGUUUACGGAUGGAUUUGAGUAAGAGCAUAGCUGUUGGGACCCGAAAGAUGGUGAACUAUGCUUGAAUAGGGUGAAGCCAGAGGAAACUCUGGUGGAGGCUCGCAGCGGUUCUGACGUGCAAAUCGAUCGUCAAAUUUGGGCAUAGGGGCGAAAGACUAAUCGAACCAUCUAGUAGCUGGUUCCUGCCGAAGUUUCCCUCAGGAUAGCAGUAACGUUUUCAGUUUUAUGAGGUAAAGCGAAUGAUUAGAGGCCUGGGGGUUGAAACAACCUUCACCUAUUCUCAAACUUUAAAUAUGUAAGAAGUCCUUGUUACUUGAUU
rnacentral:rRNA from 1 species